ACUAAGCGUACACGGUGGAUGCCCUGGCAGUCAGAGGCGAUGAAGGACGUGCUAAUCUGCGAAAAGCGUCGGUAAGGUGAUAUGAACCGUUAUAACCGGCGAUGUCCGAAUGGGGAAACCCAGUGCAAUUCGUUGCACUAUCGUUAACUGAAUACAUAGGUUAACGAGGCGAACCGGGGGAACUGAAACAUCUAAGUACCCCGAGGAAAAGAAAUCAACCGAGAUUCCCCCAGUAGCGGCGAGCGAACGGGGAGCAGCCCAGAGUCUGAAUCAGCUUGUGUGUUAGUGGAACGGUCUGGAAAGUCCGACGGUACAGGGUGAUAGUCCCGUACACCAAAAUGCACAGGUUGUGAACUCGAAGAGUAGGGCGGGACACGUGGUAUCCUGUCUGAAUAUGGGGGGACCAUCCUCCAAGGCUAAAUACUCCUGACUGACCGAUAGUGAACCAGUACCGUGAGGGAAAGGCGAAAAGAACCCCGGCGAGGGGAGUGAAAAAGAACCUGAAACCGUGUACGUACAAGCAGUGGGAGCACCUUCGGGUGUGACUGCGUACCUUUUGUAUAAUGGGUCAGCGACUUAUAUUCUGUAGCAAGGUUAACCGUAUAGGGGAGCCGCAGGGAAACCGAGUCUUAACUGGGCGUUAAGUUGCAGGGUAUAGACCCGAAACCCGGUGAUCUAGCCAUGGGCAGGUUGAAGGUUGGGUAACACUAACUGGAGGACCGAACCGACUAAUGUUGAAAAAUUAGCGGAUGACUUGUGGCUGGGGGUGAAAGGCCAAUCAAACCGGGAGAUAGCUGGUUCUCCCCGAAAGCUAUUUAGGUAGCGCCUCGUGAACUCAUCUUCGGGGGUAGAGCACUGUUUCGGCUAGGGGGUCAUCCCGACUUACCAACCCGAUGCAAACUACGAAUACCGAAGAAUGUUAUCACGGGAGACACACGGCGGGUGCUAACGUCCGUCGUGAAGAGGGAAACAACCCAGACCGCCAGCUAAGGUCCCAAAGUCAUGGUUAAGUGGGAAACGAUGUGGGAAGGCACAGACAGCCAGGAUGUUGGCUUAGAAGCAGCCAUCAUUUAAAGAAAGCGUAAUAGCUCACUGGUCGAGUCGGCCUGCGCGGAAGAUGUAACGGGGCUAAACCAUGCACCGAAGCUGCGGCAGCGACACUAUGUGUUGUUGGGUAGGGGAGCGUUCUGUAAGCCUGCGAAGGUGACCUGUGAGGGUUGCUGGAGGUAUCAGAAGUGCGAAUGCUGACAUAAGUAACGAUAAAGCGGGUGAAAAGCCCGCUCGCCGGAAGACCAAGGGUUCCUGUCCAACGUUAAUCGGGGCAGGGUGAGUCGACCCCUAAGGCGAGGCCGAAAGGCGUAGUCGAUGGGAAACAGGUUAAUAUUCCUGUACUUGGUGUUACUGCGAAGGGGGGACGGAGAAGGCUAUGUUAGCCGGGCGACGGUUGUCCCGGUUUAAGCAUGUAGGCUGGUUAUCCAGGCAAAUCCGGAUAAUCAAGGCUGAGGUGUGAUGACGAGGCACUACGGUGCUGAAGUAACAAAUGCCCUGCUUCCAGGAAAAGCCUCUAAGCAUCAGGUAACAUCAAAUCGUACCCCAAACCGACACAGGUGGUCAGGUAGAGAAUACCAAGGCGCUUGAGAGAACUCGGGUGAAGGAACUAGGCAAAAUGGUGCCGUAACUUCGGGAGAAGGCACGCUGGUGUGUAGGUGAAGUCCCUGCGGAUGGAGCUGAGACCAGUCGAAGAUACCAGCUGGCUGCAACUGUUUAUUAAAAACACAGCACUGUGCAAACACGAAAGUGGACGUAUACGGUGUGACGCCUGCCCGGUGCCGGAAGGUUAAUUGAUGGGGUUAUCCGUAAGGAGAAGCUCUUGAUCGAAGCCCCGGUAAACGGCGGCCGUAACUAUAACGGUCCUAAGGUAGCGAAAUUCCUUGUCGGGUAAGUUCCGACCUGCACGAAUGGCGUAAUGAUGGCCAGGCUGUCUCCACCCGAGACUCAGUGAAAUUGAACUCGCUGUGAAGAUGCAGUGUACCCGCGGCAAGACGGAAAGACCCCGUGAACCUUUACUAUAGCUUGACACUGAACAUUGAGCCUUGAUGUGUAGGAUAGGUGGGAGGCUUUGAAGCGUGGACGCCAGUCUGCGUGGAGCCAACCUUGAAAUACCACCCUUUAAUGUUUGAUGUUCUAACGUUGGCCCCUGACCGGGGUUGCGGACAGUGUCUGGUGGGUAGUUUGACUGGGGCGGUCUCCUCCCAAAGCGUAACGGAGGAGCACGAAGGUUAGCUAAUCCUGGUCGGACAUCAGGAGGUUAGUGCAAUGGCAUAAGCUAGCUUGACUGCGAGCGUGACGGCGCGAGCAGGUGCGAAAGCAGGUCAUAGUGAUCCGGUGGUUCUGAAUGGAAGGGCCAUCGCUCAACGGAUAAAAGGUACUCCGGGGAUAACAGGCUGAUACCGCCCAAGAGUUCAUAUCGACGGCGGUGUUUGGCACCUCGAUGUCGGCUCAUCACAUCCUGGGGCUGAAGUAGGUCCCAAGGGUAUGGCUGUUCGCCAUUUAAAGUGGUACGCGAGCUGGGUUUAGAACGUCGUGAGACAGUUCGGUCCCUAUCUGCCGUGGGCGCUGGAGAAUUGAGGGGGGCUGCUCCUAGUACGAGAGGACCGGAGUGGACGCAUCACUGGUGUUCGGGUUGUCAUGCCAAUGGCACUGCCCGGUAGCUAAAUGCGGAAGAGAUAAGUGCUGAAAGCAUCUAAGCACGAAACUUGCCCCGAGAUGAGUUCUCCCUGAGACUUUAAGUCUCCUGAAGGAACGUUAAAGACGAUGACGUUGAUAGGCCGGGUGUGUAAGCGCAGCGAUGCGUUGAGCUAACCGGUACUAAUGAACCGUGAGGCUUAACC
rnacentral:rRNA from 1 species